AUGGCAUCAGGGUUCUUCCUCCUUGUCCUUUUGGCUCUAUCGGCUUCUCAUGCUCUUGCCUCCGACCCAGGCCAGCUCCAGGAUUUUUGCAUCGCUGACAGGACAUCCCAAGUUUUUGUCAAUGGAUUUGCAUGCAAAGACCCAAAGACUGCCUUGGUAGAGGAUUUCUUUUUCUCUGGCCUUCACAUGGCCGGGAACACGAGCAACAAGCAAGGUUCUGCAGUGACCGCAGUUAACGUGGCGCAGAUUGCUGGGUUGAACACUUUGGGCAUCUCCCUGGCCCGUGUUGAUUAUGCACCCUACGGUCAAAACCCACCGCAUAUCCACCCCCGUGCAACCGAGAUCCUGACCGUGCUGGAAGGCUCGCUCUAUGUUGGUUUCAUCACCUCGAACCCUGAAAACAAGUUGUUCUCAAAAGUUCUUAACAAAGGGGAUGUGUUUGUGUUUCCACAAGGGCUGAUUCACUUUCAGUUCAACUACGGAACCAACAAGGCGAUAGCCAUUGCAGCGCUGAGCAGCAAAAAUCCUGGAGUGAUCACCAUAGCCAAUACAGUGUUUGGAUCGAAUCCAUCCAUCUCAGGUGAUAUACUUGCCAAAGCCUUCCAGGUGGACAAGAAGAUGGUAGACCAUAUUCACGCUCAGUUCUAG
rnacentral:rRNA from 1 species